UACGUAGGGGGGCUAGCGUUGUCCGGGAUUUAUUGGGCGAAAGAGCGUGUAGGCGCCAUGUAGGUCCGGUGUGAAAACUCGAGGCUUAACCUCGAGAUGUCAUCGGAAACCAUUUGGCUAGAGUCCGGAAGAGGAGAGUGGAAUUCCUGGUGUAGCGGUGAAAUGCGCAGAUAUCAGGAAGAACACCAAUGGCGAAAGCAGCUCUCUGGGACGGUACUGGACGCUGAGACGCGAAAAGCGUGGGGAGCGAACAGG
rnacentral:rRNA from 1 species